AUCGCCCGCGAGGGCGGUCACGAAGCCCUGACGAGUAGGAGGGUCGCGGCGGUGAGCGCAGAAGGGCUGGCCGCGAGGCCGUCUGGAGCCGCCGUCGGUGCAGAUCUUGGUGGUAGUAGCAAAUACUCCAGCGAGGCCCUGGAGGACUGACGUGGAGAAGGGUUUCGUGUGAACAGCCGUUGCACACGAGUCAGUCGAUCCUAAGCCCUAGGCGAAAGCCGAUGUCGAUGCGGUGUAGUUUUUACCAAAUAUAUAUAUU
rnacentral:rRNA from 1 species